rnacentral:rRNA from 1 species
UACGUAGGGCGCGAGCGUUAUCCGGAAUUAUUGGGCGUAAAGAGCUCGUAGGCGGUAUGUCACGUCUGCUGUGAAAACUGGAGGCUCAACCUCCAGCCUGCAGUGGGUACGGGCAGACUAGAGUGCGGUAGGGGAGAUUGGAAUUCCUGGUGUAGCGGUGAAAUGCGUAGAGAUCCGGAAGAACACCGGUGGCGAAGGCGGCCUGCUGGGCAGUUGCUGACACUGGAGGCGCGACAGCGUGGGGAGCAAACAGG